AGCGAACGCUGGCGGCAGGCCUAACACAUGCAAGUCGAACGAACCUUUCGGGGUUAGCGGCGGACGGGUGAGUAACACGUGGGAACGUGCCUUUAGGUUCGGAAUAACUCAGGGAAACUUGUGCUAAUACCGAAUGUGCCCUUCGGGGGAAAGAUUAAUCGCCUUUAGAGCGGCCCGCGUCUGAUUAGCUAGUUGGUUGAGGUAAUGGCUCACCAAGGCGACGAUCAGUAGCUGGUCUGAGAGGAUGAUCAGCCACAUUGGGACUGAGACACGGCCCAAACUCCUACGGGAGGCAGCAGUGGGGAAUCUUGCGCAAUGGGCGAAAGCCUGACGCAGCCAUGCCGCGUGAAUGAUGAAGGUCUUAGGAUUGUAAAAUUCUUUCACCGGGGACGAUAAUGACGGUACCCGGAGAAGAAGCCCCGGCUAACUUCGUG
rnacentral:rRNA from 1 species